rnacentral:rRNA from 1 species
UACAGAGGCCCCGAGCGUUAGUCGGAAUUACUGGGCGUAAAGGGCGCGUAGGCGGCCUGCUAAGUCGGACGUGAAAUCCCUCGGCUCAACCGGGGAACUGCGUCCGAUACUGGUGGGCUCGAAUCCGGGAGAGGGAUGUGGAAUUCCAGGUGUAGCGGUGAAAUGCGUAGAUAUCUGGAGGAACACCGGUGGCGAAGGCGGCAUCCUGGACCGGUAUUGACGCUGAUGCGCGAAAGCCAGGGGAGCAAACGGG